AACGAACGCUGGCGGCAUGCCUAACACAUGCAAGUCGAACGAGACCUUCGGGUCUAGUGGCGCACGGGUGCGUAACGCGUGGGAAUCUGCCCUCAGGUACGGAAUAACUCAGGGAAACUUGAGCUAAUACCGUAUAAUGACUUCGGUCCAAAGAUUUAUCGCCUGGGGAUGAGCCCGCGUCGGAUUAGCUAGUUGGUGAGGUAAAGGCUCACCAAGGCGACGAUCCGUAGCUGGUCUGAGAGGAUGAUCAGCCACACUGGGACUGAGACACGGCCCAGACUCCUACGGGAGGCAGCAGUGGGGAAUAUUGGACAAUGGGCGCAAGCCUGAUCCAGCAAUGCCGCGUGAGUGAUGAAGGCCUUAGGGUUGUAAAGCUCUUUUACCCGGGAAGAUAAUGACUGUACCGGGAGAAUAAGCCCCGGCUAACUCCGUGCCAGCAGCCGCGGUAAUACGGAGGGGCUAGCGUUGUCCGGAAUUACUGGCGUAAAGCGCACGU
rnacentral:rRNA from 1 species